UGAAUGAACAUGGGAGGAAGCACAAUUUCCUUGGGGUAGGACAGAAGAAAUGGUUUCUUUUGUAUACAAAAGAGUCCCUGGGAAAACUGAAGAAGGUUGUGGUGUACAUCAGUGAUAGACCAGGAGCUCAAUGGAAUGUGCUGGAUAUAACAGUAUAUGAUACAGUGUCUGGCUGUGAAUCCCACUUCAGCAGCAAUGGAUGCCUCACAGUGGGAUACACCACUUUGGAGUCUUGUAAGAACUACAGGUUUGGACUGCAAACUUGCCUUCUGUAUUUGUGGUCUUG